CUGAAGGGUUUGGAGGAACUC
rnacentral:miRNA from 3 species